GAAAAUAUUUAAACAGUUUCAAUGUACUAUUUAUUGUUCAUGCAUAAUUAUUUGAACCUUUUGUUACUACAUAUUAUACUAUUAAUUUAAAUAUAUACAUUUGUCGAGUGAUGUUGUAAAUUAAAAUACCGUGUAUAAUAAAAUUAGAACAGAAAAGAAGAAUACAAAAAUUUUUUUGUACGCUUACAAACACAAUUGGGGUAUACAGGCACACACUUACACAGCAUCGGAUUCAUACACAUACAUUAACAUAAUGCAGAGAAAAAAUAAAUAAACAGUCAUACGCAAAAAAAUGAAGAAAAAUUUGAAAUUGGGGAAGACAAAUAGAAAAAUUAAGAGUUAAACAAAGUAUGAGAGAUAUUAGUCAUUUUGAAUUUUUCGGUGAGGAACUCGCCAGAAACCUGUCUGAAAUAUUUUGGUAUCAUAAAUUAGAACCAUUUUUUUUGUUCUUGUUCAAACCCGUUGGCACUCCGGUGAGAUAAAAACAACAUCCCUAAGCCACCAUCUCUCUCGUUUCCCCUCCUUAGACCCAAUCGAUGCACCUCACAGCCACGUUGCCUCGUCCAUCCCUUCUUCCCUUUUUCCUUCCCCUUCCGUCGCCAGAAUUCUUCAAGAUCGGCGCUGCCUCCAUAUUUGACCGGAAUUAACGCCACAACGGCGAAGCUCUGAUGCCUAAUCAACCAUAAAAUCUUUAUUCUUUUCCGUCUGCGGCCCCCUCCCCUUCUUCCUUUUUCCCAUCACCGAUCAGUUACCAUCACUGAGAAAAAAUGGAUUCAUAGUAAUUGAGAGAGAAAGAAAGGAGAAAGAAAAUAAGAACCUGGGCAGUAUAUUGUGCGUGAAGGUUAAUGUGUGUAUGUUAUAUUCUUUAAUAAUAAUAUUUUUG
rnacentral:lncRNA from 1 species